AGCGAACGCUGGCGGCGUGCCUAACACAUGCAAGUCGAACGUGAAAGGGAGCAAUCCCAAGUAAAGUGGCGUACGGGUGAGUAACACGUAGGUAAUCUACCCCAGAAUCUGGAAUAACCGGCCGAAAGGCUGGCUAAUACUGGAUAGAGCGACGGAAUCCGUAAUUGGGUUUUUCGGGAAAGGGAGCCUGUAAAAAGGCCUUCGUUCUGGGAUGAGCCUGCGUCCCAUCAGCUAGUUGGUGAGGUAAAAGCUUACCAAGGCAAUGACGGGUAGCUGGUCUGAGAGGACGAUCAGCCACACUGGAACUGAAACACGGCCCAGACUCCUACGGGAGGCAGCAGUGGGGAAUCUUGCGCAAGGGACGAAAGUCUGACGCAGCAACGCCGCGUGAGUGAAGAAGGCCUUCGGGUCGUAAAGCUCUGUCGAGUGGGACGAAAAUGCUUGGAGUUCACAGCUCCAGGAACUGACGGUACCACUAAAGGAAGCACCGGCUAACUCCGUG
rnacentral:rRNA from 1 species